rnacentral:rRNA from 1 species
GUAGGUGGCAAGCGUUGUCCGGAAUUAUUGGGCGUAAAGCGCGCGCAGGCGGUCCUUUAAGUCUGAUGUGAAAGCCCACGGCUCAACCGUGGAGGGUCAUUGGAAACUGGGGGACUUGAGUACAGAAGAGGAAAGCGGAAUUCCAAGUGUAGCGGUGAAAUGCGUAGAGAUUUGGAGGAACACCAGUGGCGAAGGCGGCUUUCUGGUCUGUAACUGACGCUGAGGCGCGAAAGCGUGGGGAGCAAACAGGGAUUAGAUACCCUGGUAGUCCACGCCGUAAACGAUGGGUGCUAAGUGUUAGGGGGUUUCCCGCCCCCCUUAGUGCUGCAGCUAACGCAUUAAGCACUCCGCCUGGGGAGUACGGCCGCAAGGCUG